rnacentral:rRNA from 1 species
GGGACACGUGGUAUCCUGUCUGAAUAUGGGGGGACCAUCCUCCAAGGCUAAAUACUCCUGACUGACCGAUAGUGAACCAGUACCGUGAGGGAAAGGCGAAAAGAACCCCGGCGAGGGGAGUGAAAAAGAACCUGAAACCGUGUACGUACAAGCAGUGGGAGCACAGAGCAAUCUGUGUGACUGCGUACCUUUUGUAUAAUGGGUCAGCGACUUAUAUUCUGUAGCAAGGUUAACCGAAUAGGGGAGCCGAAGGGAAACCGAGUCUUAACUGGGCGUUAAGUUGCAGGGUAUAGACCCGAAACCCGGUGAUCUAGCCAUGGGCAGGUUGAAGGUUGGGUAACACUAACUGGAGGACCGAACCGACUAAUGUUGAAAAAUUAGCGGAUGACUUGUGGCUGGGGGUGAAAGGCCAAUCAAACCGGGAGAUAGCUGGUUCUCCCCGAAAGCUAUUUAGGUAGCGCCUCGUGAAUUCAUCUCCGGGGGUAGAGCACUGUUUCGGCAAGGGGGUCAUCCCGACUUACCAACCCGAUGCAAACUGCGAAUACCGGAGAAUGUUAUCACGGGAGACACACGGCGGGUGCUAACGUCCGUCGUGAAGAGGGAAACAACCCAGACCGCCAGCUAAGGUCCCAAAGUCAUGGUUAAGUGGGAAACGAUGUGGGAAGGCCCAGACAGCCAGGAUGUUGGCUUAGAAGCAGCCAUCAUUUAAAGAAAGCGUAAUAGCUCACUGGUCGAGUCGGCCUGCGCGGAAGAUGUAACGGGGCUAAACCAUGCACCGAAGCUGCGGCAGCGACGCUUAUGCGUUGUUGGGUAGGGGAGCGUUCUGUAAGCCUGUGAAGGUGUGCUGUGAGGCAUGCUGGAGGUAUCAGAAGUGCGAAUGCUGACAUAAGUAACGAUAAAGCGGGUGAAAAGCCCGCUCGCCGGAAGACCAAGGGUUCCUGUCCAACGUUAAUCGGGGCAGGGUGAGUCGACCCCUAAGGCGAGGCCGAAAGGCGUAGUCGAUGGGAAACAGGUUAAUAUUCCUGUACUUGGUGUUACUGCGAAGGGGGGACGGAGAAGGCUAUGUUGGCCGGGCGACGGUUGUCCCGGUUUAAGCGUGUAGGCUGGUUUUCCAGGCAAAUCCGGAAAAUCAAGGCUGAGGCGUGAUGACGAGGCACUACGGUGCUGAAGCAACAAAUGCCCUGCUUCCAGGAAAAGCCUCUAAGCAUCAGGUAACAUCAAAUCGUACCCCAAACCGACACAGGUGGUCAGGUAGAGAAUACCAAGGCGCUUGAGAGAACUCGGGUGAAGGAACUAGGCAAAAUGGUGCCGUAACUUCGGGAGAAGGCACGCUGAUAUGUAGGUGAAGUCCCUCGCGGAUGGAGCUGAAAUCAGUCGAAGAUACCAGCUGGCUGCAACUGUUUAUUAAAAACACAGCACUGUGCAAACACGAAAGUGGACGUAUACGGUGUGACGCCUGCCCGGUGCCGGAAGGUUAAUUGAUGGGGUUAGCGGUAACGCGAAGCUCUUGAUCGAAGCCCCGGUAAACGGCGGCCGUAACUAUAACGGUCCUAAGGUAGCGAAAUUCCUUGUCGGGUAAGUUCCGACCUGCACGAAUGGCGUAAUGAUGGCCAGGCUGUCUCCACCCGAGACUCAGUGAAAUUGAACUCGCUGUGAAGAUGCAGUGUACCCGCGGCAAGACGGAAAGACCCCGUGAACCUUUACUAUAGCUUGACACUGAACAUUGAGCCUUGAUGUGUAGGAUAGGUGGGAGGCUUUGAAGUGUGGACGCCAGUCUGCAUGGAGCCGGCCUUGAAAUACCACCCUUUAAUGUUUGAUGUUCUAACGUUGGCCCCUGAUCGGGGUUGCGGACAGUGUCUGGUGGGUAGUUUGACUGGGGCGGUCUCCUCCUAAAGAGUAACGGAGGAGCACGAAGGUUGGCUAAUCCUGGUCGGACAUCAGGAGGUUAGUGCAAUGGCAUAAGCCAGCUUGACUGCGAGCGUGACGGCGCGAGCAGGUGCGAAAGCAGGUCAUAGUGAUCCGGUGGUUCUGAAUGGAAGGGCCAUCGCUCAACGGAUAAAAGGUACUCCGGGGAUAACAGGCUGAUACCGCCCAAGAGUUCAUAUCGACGGCGGUGUUUGGCACCUCGAUGUCGGCUCAUCACAUCCUGGGGCUGAAGUAGGUCCCAAGGGUAUGGCUGUUCGCCAUUUAAAGUGGUACGCGAGCUGGGUUUAGAACGUCGUGAGACAGUUCGGUCCCUAUCUGCCGUGGGCGCUGGAGAACUGAGGGGGGCUGCUCCUAGUACGAGAGGACCGGAGUGGACGCAUCACUGGUGUUCGGGUUGUCAUGCCAAUGGCACUGCCCGGUAGCUAAAUGCGGAAGAGAUAAGUGCUGAAAGCAUCUAAGCACGAAACUUGCC